ACAAAGGCCCUUUUUAGGGCCACCACCCUUUCUGAGAGGAGGUGUG
rfam:Fukomys damarensis contig89871, whole genome shotgun sequence.